GGGGCCUGGCGGCGGGCGG
rnacentral:miRNA from 1 species